rnacentral:lncRNA from 1 species
CUUCUUCAGCCUGACUUGCGCCACAAGGGUCAGAAUCAUCAAACACCACCAGCACCCACACACACAGCAAGCAGGACCGAGCUGGGGCUUUCCGGCUAUCAACUCUAAGACGGACAGAGUUCACGUUCAAUUGAAUUGUUCUAACACUGGAGCGAUGCCCAACACCAAAAGGAUCUCAGUGGAUAUUUGCUGCAUGAUUUACUGAAUGAAUGAAUAAAAAGGCACAGUGCUAGACUCUGAAACAUCAAAGAUGACUAACAUUGCAUAUUUCCACAGAGAGUCAUAUCCUAUGUUGGAAAUGUAAACCCUGCAGCCAGUACCCAGACAUGUAAACCACAAUUUUGUUGUUGUUGUUGUUUGUUUUAGGGGACAGGGUUUCCUUGUACAGCUCUGGUUGUCCUGGAACUCACUUUGUAGACCAGGCUGGCCUGGAACUCACAGAGACACCCCCAGUCCCACCUCUGCCAUGCCUGCUCUACUGAAGAGUACUGAGAUUAAAGGCAUGCACUACUACUGC